UGCCCCUAGACCUGAUUGUUUUUAAGUGUCAAAUGACAAAACUAAACUUAGCAAUGAGUUUGAUGUCUUUUAUUCAAGGGAAAAUAAUCUGUGGAUCGGGGAAAUACACUGCUUCACAAGCAGUGGCACAUUUUUCUGGAAGGGUUUAGGGCAAGAAUGAGUUUGACACAGCAACAUGGAAAUAGGGCUUGGUUGGCUAGGAGAUUGGAGAUCUCCUUAUAGAGCUAGCAGGUCUUACUUUUCCUUAUAAAGCUAGUGGGUCCUGUUUUCUUGGGUAAGGAGCUGGCUGCCUUUGGUUUGGAUUUAUGACAUGGGCUGGACCACUGGGGUGGCCUCUGUUUUGUGGGUCCCAAUAUACAAAUGAACUUGAUCACAAGUAACAGGCCAUAUUUGAAGUAGAUAGUAACUAUCCUAUGGAGGGACAGUUGCAAGAAUUAAUGCUUUCUUGAUGAGCGCUGGGUUAGUGCUUUGUAAAGAGUCUUGAAGUUUCUGCUUCAUCUUUGUCUCUGGCACUUGGUGGGCUCAAGUCUACUUAGAAAGGCAUGUCUGUAUGCCCAGGACCUGCUUCAGAUGCAGUGUUUCCCAGCCUUCACUUCAAAGCAGCAUUGUGGAAUCAAGCAGUGGGAAUAUUUGAGAAAGCUGUCUGUCAUUCUCCAGGGGUUCCGACUUGCAAGGGCUCAACAAUCUACUCAUUUGACUUAUUACCAGGAUGUAUGAUUUUGAGUUCUUAAGAUGGCCUUAUAGAAGAUGCAGCAUCUGACAGCAAUGGCCCAAGAGCCUUGCACAUCUGAAGUCAGCAUCUAGAAAUGGUGACCCCUCUAACACUGCUCCCAUUCUAAGACUCAGUGAGCUCAUCCUUGGAGAUAAGAAGAGCCGUUUUCCUUUGUAAGGAGACACUGCUAUUUCCCCCCUUGCCUAUCAUAAUUGGCAGCACAUCCCUUUUGAGUUCAGACAAGGCUUGAAACUUUCAAUGACUUGAAACUUAGAAGUGCAGAUGCUCUUAGAAGUGCGCUCACAUAUCAGUCCCCUUCACCUGGCUGGCACGGCGAUGAUUUGAUUGCUCCAGGCAAAAAUCCAGGUUUUGUGAAAGCAUGCACUUGCCUACAGAGCCUGUCUGCUGUUAGCACAGAAACCUAAUGAGGGUGUUCUACUGGAGGUGAAAUAUAUGCCCAUUACAGCUCCAGAAUAUCAUGGUUGGAAAAGGGGGAUGCUUCCAGGGUGUAUUUUACCUCUCAGGGGAUAGUUGACAAUGCCCGGAGGCAUUUUUCGUUGUCAUAACUGUGGGGGGUGCUUCUGGUGUCUAGUAGGUAGAGGCCAGGGAUUGCUGCGAAACAUUCUCCAGUGCUCAGGACAACCUCCUCCUCCCCACAGGCAAAGAAUUAUCCCACCCAAAAUGUAAAAAGUGUCAGGAUUGAAAAACUCUGGCAUGGAGGAACUUUGAGGACCUUGGACCCAAAAGGAAAAAGGAGGGGUUUGUUCUCAUGCUUGUGGGAAACCCUGCUGGGGAAGAAUAUAGAGCCGUGUAUCUUGACUACACAGUGCUUUUCCAUUCAUAACAUGCUCUCUUAUUAUUAUGGAUUAUAUGUCUGUGUCCCCUCCCAUCCCCCAAGUUAAUCUCUUGAAAUCUUAACACUCAGUGUGAUUAUAUUAGGAGGUGAGGCUUUGGGAAGUGAUUAGGUCAGGAGGGUGGAGCCCUCAUGAAUGGGAUUCAUGCCCUCAUCAAAGGAACUCCAGAGAGCUCUCGCUCCUGCUCUCUGUCCACCGUGUGAGGACACAAUGAGAAGUCAGUGGUCUGCAUCCCAGAAGAGUAGCCUCAUCAGAAUCCGACCAUGCUGGCAAUUCUGAUCUUGGACGUCAGCCUCCAGAACCAUGAGAAAUACAAUUAUGUUGUUUAAGCCA